UUUACUUUUACAUAGGUUGGUUCCUCGAAUGUGUGAUAUGGUGGAGGGCAGCCAUGAAGUCAUUCUAAAUUUGUUGAAGCAUACGAUACUGAUAUUACUUCUCGUUUUGAAGCAAAGGCCUCUCAAAUUAUAAAGAUCAUGAUGAGAACAGCUGUUAGUGAAAUAAAUGAUCCUAUAGAAGAGACAGUGUUUCAUGUGGUGUAAGCAUCUGGGUAGUCUGAGUAGCGUCGUGGUAUUCCUGAAAGGCCCAGGAAAUGUUGAGG
rnacentral:lncRNA from 1 species